rnacentral:rRNA from 1 species
AUGCGCUAUGAUGAGCGGUACACACCUUAUGUUAGGGAGGCAGGACUUCUCCCUUUCAUUGAGUUGGUCCGCCGGUCGACGCCACCCAACAAUGCUGCAGCACUCACCGCGCUUAUUGAUCAUUGGAGGCCGGAGACACACACUUUCCAUCUUCGGACCGGGGAGAUGACCGUGAUGCUGCAGGAUAUUGCUAUGAUCACCGGUCUUCCUAUCGAUGGCAAUCCUUUAUGUAUGAACACCGAUUCUGAAGGGUGGCGCGCGCAGAUGCAAGCCCUUAUCGGUAUGAUUCCUCCGGAGCCUCGGGAGCUAGAAGUAGGACAUAAGAAGGAAAGAGUCGCAGCGGGCGCUACUUUCACGUGGAUAUCAUCGAACUUCGCUCAUUGCCCCGAUGAUGCUAAUGAGGACAUGGUGAAGACAUAUGCUCGUGUCUACAUGUGGUACGUGAUAUCGAGGACAAUGUUUGCUGAUGGCACAGGCAAGAAUGCUCCAUGGAUGUGGCUGAAGGCGUUGACCGUCUUCGAUAGCAAAUGGAGUUGGGGUUCGGCGACACUAGCUUACUUGUAUCGACAUUUGGACGAUGCCAGUUGUAGGCACACUGGAGGUAUUGGUGGUUGUCUGCUCGCACUUUCCAUAUGA